rnacentral:rRNA from 1 species
UACGUAGGGGGCGAGCGUUGUCCGGAUUUAUUGGGCGUAAAGAGCGUGUAGGCGGCUUCACAGGUCCGCUGUGAAAACUCGAGGCUCAACCUCGUGCUGUCGGUGGAAACCGUGUGGCUAGAGUCCGGAAGAGGAGAGUGGAAUUCCCGGUGUAGCGGUGAAAUGCGCAGAUAUCGGGAAGAACACCCGUGGCGAAGGCGGCUCUCUGGGACGGUACUGACGCUGAGACGCGAAAGCGUGGGGAGCGAACAGG